rnacentral:rRNA from 1 species
GGAUCCAGACUUUGAUUAUGGCUCAGGAUGAACGCUAGCGGCAGGCCUAAUACAUGCAAGUCGAACGAUAGACAGGGGCUUGCUCUUGUCGAAAAGUGGCGCACGGGUGCGUAACGCGUAUGCAACCUACCUUGAUCAGGGGGAUAGCCUCUCGAAAGAGAGAUUAACACCGCAUAACAUCAUUUGACGGCAUCGUCGGAUGAUCAAAUAUUUAUAGGAUCGAGAUGGGCAUGCGUGACAUUAGCUAGUUGGCGGGGUAACGGCCCACCAAGGCCGCGAUGUCUAGGGGAUCUGAGAGGAUGACCCCCCACACUGGUACUGAGACACGGACCAGACUCCUACGGGAGGCAGCAGUAAGGAAUAUUGGUCAAUGGGGGCAACCCUGAACCAGCCAUGCCGCGUGCAGGAAGACGGCCCUACGGGUUGUAAACUGCUUUUAUCGGGGAAUAAACCUCAAUACGUGUAUUGAGUUGAAUGUACUCGAGGAAUAAGGAUCGGCUAACUCCGUGCCAGCAGCCGCGGUAAUACGGAGGAUCCAAGCGUUAUCCGGAUUUAUUGGGUUUAAAGGGUGCGUAGGCGGCCUAUUAAGUCAGGGGUGAAAGACGGUGGCUCAACCAUCGCAGUGCCUUUGAUACUGAUAGGCUUGAAUACACUAGAGGUAGGCGGAAUGUGACAAGUAGCGGUGAAAUGCAUAGAUAUGUCACAGAACACCGAUUGCGAAGGCAGCUUACUAUGGUGUCAUUGACGCUGAGGCACGAAAGCGUGGGGAUCAAACAGGAUUAGAUACCCUGGUAGUCCACGCCCUAAACGAUGAAUACUCGAUGUUGGCGAUAUACAGUCAGCGUCAAAGCGAAAGCGUUAAGUAUUCCACCUGGGGAGUACGCCCGCAAGGGUGAAACUCAAAGGAAUUGACGGGGGCCCGCACAAGCGGAGGAGCAUGUGGUUUAAUUCGAUGAUACGCGAGGAACCUUACCCGGGCUUGAAAGUUAGUGAAUUUCCCAGAGAUGGGAGAGUGAGCAAUCACACGAAACUAGGUGCUGCAUGGCUGUCGUCAGCUCGUGCCGUGAGGUGUUGGGUUAAGUCCCGCAACGAGCGCAACCC